GACGAAGGUGGCAAGCGUUGUUCGGAAUUAUUGGGCUUAAAGCGCACGCAGGCGGGAAGUUAAGUGUCCUGUGAAAUCCCCCGGCUCAACCGGGGAAUGGCGGGGCAAACUGACUUUCUUGAGGCCGGUAGGGGUGCAUGGAACUCCAGGUGGAGCGGUGAAAUGCGUAGAUAUCUGGAGGAACGCCAGCGGUGAAAACGGUGCACUGGGCCGGUGCUGACGCUGAGGUGCGAAAGCGUGGGGAGCGAACGGG
rnacentral:rRNA from 1 species